UUCGGCAGCACAUAUACUAAAAAAAAAAAAAAUGGGAAAGAUACAGAAAUUAGCAUGGUCCUUGUGCAAGAAUGACACACAUUUUUUUGAAAUGUUUCAUAUUUUU